rnacentral:rRNA from 1 species
GACGAACGCUGGCGGCGUGCUUAACACAUGCAAGUCGAACGGAAAGGCCCUGCUUUUGUGGGGUGCUCGAGUGGCGAACGGGUGAGUAACACGUGAGUAACCUGCCCUUGACUUUGGGAUAACUUCAGGAAACUGGGGCUAAUACCGGAUAGGAGCUCCUGCUGCAUGGUGGGGGUUGGAAAGUUUCGGCGGUUGGGGAUGGACUCGCGGCUUAUCAGCUUGUUGGUGGGGUAGUGGCUUACCAAGGCUUUGACGGGUAGCCGGCCUGAGAGGGUGACCGGACACAUUGGGAACGAUAGACCGGCGGGCGUCCUACGGGAGGAAGCCGGGGGGAGGAUUGCAGACUGGGUGGAAGUCUGAUGCCGCCGAGCCGCGUGAGGGAUGAUGGGCGUCGGUGGGGAAACAGGUUGCGCCUGUGACGAAGGGUGAGUGAGGGUCAUGGGUAAAGAAGAAACGGCUCACUAAGUG